CUGCCGGACAAGUUGGAGCGACCCUCAGACAAAUAGUGAAAUGUCUUGCCAGCGGCAGCAUUCGGAAUACCGAUCCCCUGAAAAAUUGAGAAGCCCCAGUAGAAAAUCUUCGAAGAGGGUCAGUCCGGCACCUGAUUUCAGAACAUGGGCAACAGAGCCAUUGUCUUCAAUUGAAACUGAGUAUAUAAAGAAUCUUCAGCAACAAGUUUGCCUUUUGGAACUAGAAACAAAUUUUCUA